GAGCUUGCUCUUAUGAAGUUAGCGGCGGACGGGUGAGUAACACGUGGGUAACCUGCCCAUAAGACUGGGAUAACUCCGGGAAACCGGGGCUAAUACCGGAUAACAUUUUGAACCGCAUGGUUCGAAAUUGAAAGGCGGCUUCGGCUGUCACUUAUGGAUGGACCCGCGUCGCAUUAGCUAGUUGGUGAGGUAACGGCUCACCAAGGCAACGAUGCGUAGCCGACCUGAGAGGGUGAUCGGCCACACUGGGACUGAGACACGGCCCAGACUCCUACGGGAGGCAGCAGUAGGGAAUCUUCCGCAAUGGACGAAAGUCUGACGGAGCAACGCCGCGUGAGUGAUGAAGGCUUUCGGGUCGUAAAACUCUGUUGUUAGGGAAGAACAAGUGCUAGUUGAAUAAGCUGGCACCUUGACGGUACCUAACCAGAAAGCCACGGCUAACUACGUGCCAGCAGCCGCGGUAAUACGUAG
rnacentral:rRNA from 1 species